ACUCCUACGGGAGGCAGCAGUGAGGAAUAUUGGUCAAUGGACGAGAGUCUGAACCAGCCAAGUCGCGUGAAGGAAGACGGCCCUACGGGUUGUAAACUUCUUUUGUAAGGGAAUAAAUAGUCUUACGCGCUAAGACGUUGCAGGUACCUUACGAAU
rnacentral:rRNA from 1 species